UUCCAGGCUUAGCAUCUGAUUCUCUGACAGGCAGCUGAACGUCAGAAGACAGUCCUGCCAAGUUUUUGGCAUGCAACUUGGCCCCCUGGUAUCCUUCGCACAGUGAGGACAGACACACGUGAUUGGAAGCUGAACAGAAUGGUUCUCACGCUGUGUGCGGCCACUGAGAGAGAAGACGGACUUUGCUCCAUUUAUAUCCUGCCAUUCUUUAAAAGAAUGCUUUUAGGGGAUCUUCCCAAGCCAGGGAUCCAACCCAGGUUUCCUGCAUUGAAGGCAGAUUCUUCAC